ACUCACAUUUUGAACACUAUGCUUAGUAAUAGUGUUUUGAGUCACAAAUACAUGAAAUUCACUAUUCCUAAGGAAAUUUUUUGCUUUCCUUCCCUUUGCAAGCUCUAUAAUGCUUGUUCAAUCAACCAAGGUUCAAACCUUGUUGCUUGCAUAUUUCCACAUUUAUUGUUUCACUUACUAUCUUUUUUGUUUUCUGAUUCCUAAGAAAUUUGUUUCUUUCUCCUAAUUUAUUACAUUCCUCUCUCCUCUGGUUUUCCUUUCCUUUUUCCUUUUGCCUCUGCUUCUCCGCUCGUUUAUUCGUCUUCCCCUUACUCUGUUUUUACUUUUGUGCGGCGCCGGUGUUCGUCUACGACGACCGGAACCCUUCCUGUCUGUGGGAAGAAUUGAAUUGCUUAUUCUGUGAUUAAUUGGUUAGUUAGGCAAAUCCUAAUUCCUAAUUGAUCAUUCAAUGGGUCAAUAAUUCAUUUUUUUCCACAUGCUUGAAUGAUUUCCGGUUAGUAUGGAGGUUUGAUCGACAGCCAGUAAGUAGCCUGUUAGCAGGAUGAUGGAGCGACCUUUGAAAAGGUCCAGGAGAUGCUCAAGUCCACCCACUUUCUGCUGGAAAUUGGCCCAAAGGAGCCUUUCAAAGAACGGUGUUCUUGAAUGGUGCUUGAAAUCGGUACUUGUAAGAUAUAGGUAGCCUUAUGCUUAGCCUAGAAUCGAACCCUUUAGUAUUUGCACGUAAUAUGUUUAUGGCUCCUACACUUCUUGCCAACAAAAUUAGUUUCUGUUGCGAUAGUAUAGAAGGUGGGAAUGUAGGCUCAUUACCUAGAGAUUUUUGAAGGGAACAAGCUCGUAGUGCAGUGUUCUCAACAAAUACCCCUUAAAUAUUUUGUAACAUGAACAUAACUACUCUUGUACAUAUUAUGACUCGGGCACUAUGCCGAGUUCUUUAUGUUCUGAUUUGCAAUGCUGAUUUCAGGAAUA